GACAGAGGUCCCGAGCGUUAGGCGGAAUCACUGGGCUUAAAGCGUGUGUAGGCGGAUGCCUAAGUACCUUGUGAAAUCCCACGGCUUAACCGUGGAACUGCUCGGUAUACUGGGUGUCUUGAGCCACUUAGGGGCUACCGGAACAAAUGGUGGAGCGGUGAAAUGCGUAGAUAUCAUUUGGAACGCCAAUGGUGAAAACAGGUAGCUGGGAGUGUGCUGACGCUGAGACACGAAAGCCAGGGGAGCAAACGGG
rnacentral:rRNA from 1 species